rnacentral:lncRNA from 1 species
GUUUUCAUUAUUUUAUUAUAAAGCAUUUUACUUUUCUCAUAUGAUAAUUUAUGAUAGAUAUCACUUCAGAACAAUAAAUAAACAGCAAACUCAUUGCUUAUAAGAGUUAAAGUAUAUUCCAUUAUAUGAUAGGAUAUAAUAGAAUAAUAAUAAUUUAAGGUGUUGAAAUACUUUUAUCACCAAAACUAAAGCUUCAAUAAAUUACUUUUACCUUUAUGAGUAGUUACUAGAGAAGGCCCUAAGAUUCACCUCUGAUUUACUUUCGGCUCUGUCCAACCAGGAAGUGAAAGUUAAGGCAUAGUUGCAAAAUUCCUAAGUAUUGAAAGUGUGUAACAACACACACACACACACACACACACACACACACCAUCUGCAAAGACUAGGAGAUUGCUUUCUGUUCAGAUAAAGAAAAUUUCUAUUGAUCACUAGUUCCCCACAAACCAAUAGAACAGAGACUUCCAUGACCACAUAUGAAAAAGGAUUUAGACUUUGCAAAAUUAGUUCAGUAAAGCCACUAAACAAAUGAAUAUCAACAACUAUAAUAUGUAGCCAAAAUAAACCCUGGGGAAGGGGACAAAUAUGAUCUCCAGAAUUGCCAUAUUAUAUUAUAAUAUUCAGGAGUUCUGGUUUUCAACAACAACAAAAAAAAAAAAAAAAAGGAGAGAGUCUUUCAGACUGAAAUGAAAUAUCACUAGACAAUAACUCAAUCCAAAUGAAGAAAUAGAGAAUACCAGUUAAGAUAACUAUAUAAGUAGAUAUAAAAGUCAGUGUUCAUAGAUUUUUGGUCUAUAAAUUUUCUUAAUUCCUAUAUGAAUUAAAAGACAACUAUGAAGCAAUAAUUAUCAACUAUGUUGAUGGCACACAGGUAUGAAGAUGUAAUUUGUGACAAUAACAACAAAAAGAGAGGAGAAGAACUAUAAAGGAAAAAGAGUUGGGGAUGCCCGGGUCGCUCAGCAGUUGAGCAUCUGCCUUUUGCUCAGGGUGUGGUCCUGGAUUUCUGGGAUAGAGUCCCACAUGGGGCUCCCUGCAUGGAGCCUGCUUCUUUCUCUGCCUAUGUCUUUCUCUCUCUCUCUCUCUGUGCCUCUCAUGAAUAAAUAAAUAAAAUCUUUAAAAAUAAAAAAGUAGGAGAGUUUUUUUAUACUGCUAAGGCAAAGUAGUAUUAAUUCAAGCUAGAUUAUUAUAAGUUUAAGGUGUCAUUUCUAACAGAAAAUCAACAAGGAAACAAUGGCUUUCAAAGAAACACUGGACCGACCAGAUGGAUUUAACAGAUACAUUCAGAACAUCUAUCUAAAACAGCAGAAUACACAUUCUUUUUAAGUGCACACAGAACAUCCUUCAGUGCAGAUUGUAUAUUAGGCCAGAAAACAAGCCUCAACAAAUUCAGAAAGACAGAAGUCAUACCAUGCAUCUUUUCUGAAGACAAUGCUAUGAAACUAGAAGUCAGCCCCAAAAAGAAUUGGGAAAGAAAAAAAAAAAGAAUUGGGAAAGAGCACAAAUAUAUGCAGGUUAAAUAACAUGCUACUAAACAAUAAAUGAGUAAACCAGGUAAUUAAAGAAGAAAUUUAAAACUACAUGAAAGCAAAUGAAAAUGAAAAUACAACAGUCCAAAACCUUGGGGAUGUAGCAAAAGCAGUUCUAAGACAGAAGUUUAUACCAACACAGGUCUAUCUCAAGAAGCAAGAAAAAUCUCAAACAACCUAACCUUAUACCUGAAGGUGUUAGAAAGAGAACAAAAAAAAAACCUAAAAUCAGCAGAUAAAAGGAAAUCAUAAAGAUCAGAGCAGAAACAAAUGAUAUAGAACAAAAAGAACAAGAACAUCUGGGUGGCUCAGAGAUUGAGUGUCUGCCUUUGACUCCGGUAUUGAUCCAGGGUCCUGGGAUUGAGUCCCACAUCAGCUUCUUGCAUCAGGCUCCCCUGAGCCUGCUUCUCCCUCUGCCUAUGUCACUGCUUCUCUCUCUGUGUGUGUCUCUCAUGAAUAAAUAAAUAAAAUCUAAAAAAUAAAGGGACUUCUGGUUGGUUCAGUGGUUGAGUAUCUGCCUUCAGUUCAGAGCAUGAUUCCAAGGUCCCAGGAUCAAGUCCCACAUCAGCCUCCCUGCAUGGAGCCUGCUUCUACCUCUGCCUAUGUCUCUUUCUCUCUGUGGGUGUGUCUCUCUCAUGAAUAAAUAAAUAAAAUCUAUUUUAAAAAUCUAAAAACAAAAAUAAACAAAAGAAGGGGAUCCCU